rnacentral:rRNA from 1 species
GGGGAGCGUUCUGUAAGCCGAUGAAGGUGUAUUGAGAAGUAUGCUGGAGGUAUCAGAAGUGCGAAUGCUGACGUGAGUAACGACAAAACGGGUGAAAAACCCGUUCGCCGAAAGACCAAGGGUUCCAGUCCAACGUUAAUCGGGGCUGGGUGAGUCGACCCCUAAGGCGAGGCCGAAAGGCGUAGUCGAUGGGAAAAUGGUUAAUAUUCCAUUACUUCUGUGUAAUGCGAUGAGAGGACGGAGAAGGCUAAAUCAGCCUGGCGUUGGUUGUCCAGGUGAAAGGAUGUAGGCAUGUAUCUUAGGCAAAUCCGGGGUACUCUAUGCUGAGAUCUGAUAGCAAGCUGUACUUGUACAGCGAAGUGGUUGAUGCCAUGCUUCCAGGAAAAGUCUCUAAGCUUCAGUUACACAGGAAUCGUACCCGAAACCGACACAGGUGGUCAGGUCGAGUAGACCAAGGCGCUUGAGAGAACUCUGCUGAAGGAACUAGGCAAAAUGGUACCGUAACUUCGGGAGAAGGUACGCUGUUGUUGGUGAUGGAACUCGCUUCCUGAGCUGACGACAGCCGCAGAAACCAGGCCGCUGCAACUGUUUAUUAAAAACAUAGCACUCUGCAAACACGAAAGUGGACGUAUAGGGUGUGAUGCCUGCCCGGUGCUGGAAGGUUAAUUGAUGGGGUUAGCGUAAGCGAAGCUCUUGAUCGAAGCCCCAGUAAACGGCGGCCGUAACUAUAACGGUCCUAAGGUAGCGAAAUUCCUUGUCGGGUAAGUUCCGACCUGCACGAAUGGCAUAAUGAUGGCGGCGCUGUCUCCAGCAGAGGCUCAGUGAAAUCGAAAUCGCUGUGAAGAUGCAGUGUACCCGCGGCUAGACGGAAAGACCCCGUGAACCUUUACUGCAGCUUGACACUGAACUUUGACCUUACUUGUGUAGGAUAGGUGGGAGGCUUUGAAGCUGGAACGCUAGUUCCAGUGGAGCCGUCCUUGAAAUACCACCCUGGUAAUGUUGAGGUUCUAACUCUGUCCCGUGAUCCGGGACGAGGACCGUGUCUGGUGGGUAGUUUGACUGGGGCGGUCUCCUCCUAAAGAGUAACGGAGGAGUACGAAGGUGCGCUCAGCGUGGUCGGAAAUCACGCGUAGAGUAUAAAGGCAAAAGCGCGCUUAACUGCGAGACCCACAAGUCGAGCAGGUACGAAAGUAGGUCUUAGUGAUCCGGUGGUUCUGUAUGGAAGGGCCAUCGCUCAACGGAUAAAAGGUACUCUGGGGAUAACAGGCUGAUACCGCCCAAGAGUUCAUAUCGACGGCGGUGUUUGGCACCUCGAUGUCGGCUCAUCUCAUCCUGGGGCUGAAGCAGGUCCCAAGGGUAUGGCUGUUCGCCAUUUAAAGAGGUACGCGAGCUGGGUUUAGAACGUCGUGAGACAGUUCGGUCCCUAUCUACCGUGGGCGCUGGAAAUUUGAGAGGAUCUGCUCCUAGUACGAGAGGACCAGAGUGGACGAACCUCUGGUGUACCGGUUGUGACGCCAGUCGCAUCGCCGGGUAGCUAUGUUCGGAAGGGAUAACCGCUGAAAGCAUCUAAGCGGGAAGCCUACCUCAAGAUAAGAUUUCCCUAGGACUUUAUGUCCUCUAAAGAGCCGUUCGAGACUAGGACGUUGAUAGGUUGGAUGUGGAAGCAUAGUGAUAUGUGAAGCUGACCAAUACUAAUUGCUCGUGAGGCUUGACUAU